AUGGGAAAAUCAUGGGUUCGGAUUAUGCCCGCAUCCAAGCUUGUUGGUUUAUCAAAAUGGAACUCGUAAAUUUUAUGUAACAUUUGAUCAUGCUGUUUGCAUAAAUUUUAGCAAACCUAGAUCCCAAACAUUACAAAGUCUUACCGCUACACCCAUACCUGCCUUGUAGGCUUGAUACACCUUGGAUUCAACCUGUAUGACGUGGCACUG
rnacentral:lncRNA from 1 species